UGCCUCGUGGCUCAGUUGGGGGAGCAUUGUGUUGUGCGUGUAUCAUGCGCAAUUCACAAAGGCCCAGGUUUGAUUCCUGGUGAGGCGA